rnacentral:lncRNA from 1 species
AAGGAACUGGUUAAAGGGGAGACUCCAGAGGGUCGUAUUGAAAGGUGAAUUGUCAGGCUGGAAGGAGGUCACUAGUGGAGUCCCUCAAGGAUCGGUUUUGGGACCGAUCUUAUUUAACCUUUUUAUUACUGACCUUGGCACAAAGAGCGGGAAUGUGCUAAUAAAGUUUGCGGAUGACACGAAGCUGGGGGGUAUUGCUAACACGGAGAAGGACAGGGAUACUAUUCAGGAAGAUCUGAACCACCUUGUAAACUGGAGUAAUAGAAAUAGGAUGAAAUACAAUAGUGAAAAGUGCAAGGUCAUGCAUUUAGGAAUUAAUAAUAAGAAUUUUGGAUAUACGUUGGGGGCGCAUCAGUUGGAAGCGACGGAGGAGGAGAAGGACCUUGGGGUACUGGUUGAUAGCAGGAUGACUAUGAGUCGCCAAUGUGAUACGGCUGUUAAAAAAGCAAAUGCGAUUUUGGGAUGCAUCAGGCGGGGUAUUUCCUGCAAGGAUAAGGAGGUGUUAGUACCGUUAUACAAGGCAUUGGUGAGACCCCAUCUGGAAUACUGUGUGCAGUUCUGGUGUCCCAUGUUCAAGAAGGAUGAAUUCAAACUGGAACAGGUUCAGAGACGGGCUACAAGGAUGAUCCGAGGAAUGGAAAAACUGCCUUAUGAAAGGAGACUCAAAGAGCUUGGCUUGUUUAGCCUGGCCAAAAGAAGGCUGCGGGGGGAUAUGCUUGCUCUAUAUAAAUAUAUCAGGGGGGUUAACGUUAGGGAGGGAGAGGAAUUAUUUAAGUUUAGUACUAAUGUAGGCACGAGGACGAAUGGGUAUAAACUGGAUAUUAGGAAGUUUAGACUUGAAAUUAGACGAAGGUUUCUAACCAUUAGGGGAGUGAAGUUCUGGAACAGCCUUCCGAGGGAAGUAGUGGGGGCAAAAGACUUUCCUGGCUUUAAGACAAAGCUUGAUAAGUAUAUGGAGGGGAUGUUAUGAUAGGAUUGUUAAUUUGGGCAAUUGAUCUUGGAUUACCACCAGAUAGGUCUGCUCAAUGGUCUGCGGGGAGAUGUUGG